rnacentral:rRNA from 1 species
UACGUAGGGUGCAAGCGUUGUCCGGAAUUAUUGGGCGUAAAGAGCUCGUAGGCGGCUCGUCGCGUCUGCUGUGAAAGCCCGGGGCUUAACCCCGGGUCGCAGUGGGAUACGGGCGGGCUAGAGGUAGUAGGGGAGGGAAUGAAUUCCGGAUUCGUGUAGCGGUGGAAAAUGCGCAGAUAUCGGGAGGAACACCGGUGGCGAAGGCGGUUCUCUGGGCCUUACCUGACGCUGAGGAGCGAAAGCGUGGGGAGCGAACAGG